AUUCAAUUGGAGAGUUUGAUCCUGGCUCAGAAUGAACGCUGGCGGCGUGCUUAACACAUGCAAGUCGCACGAGAACGCUUCAGCUUGCUGAAGUUAGUAAAGUGGCGCACGGGUGAGUAACGCGUGGGUAAUCUUCCCCCGAGUCGGGGAUAACAUUGCGAAAGCGAUGCUAAUACCGGAUAACAUCUCAGGCACUCAGGUGCUUGAGAUCAAAGGUGGCCUCUACAUGUAAGCUACUGUUUGGGGAUGAGCCCGCGUACCAUUAGCUUGUUGGUAGGGUAAUGGCCUACCAAGGCUGCGAUGGUUAGCUGGUCUGAGAGGAUGAUCAGCCACACUGGAACUGACACACGGUCCAGACUCCUACGGGAGGCAGCAGUGAGGAAUUUUGCGCAAUGG
rnacentral:rRNA from 1 species